CUCGUAGGCGGCUCAGUAAGUCGGGUGUGAAACCCCCAGGCUCAACCUGGGGACGCCACUCGAUACUGCUGUGGCUAGAGUCCAGUAGGGGAGUGUGGGAUUCCCGGUGUAGCGGUGAAAUGCGCAGAUAUCGGGAGGAACACCAGCGGCGAAGGCGGCACUCUGGGCUGGAACUGACGCUGAGGAGCGAAAGCGUGGGUAGCAAACA
rnacentral:rRNA from 1 species